AUGGAGAAGAAUAGGAUGGAGAUGGAGAGCCUCGAGUCCAAGAUGCUGGUGGCCACCCAGUCCAUCGACAUCACCACCUCUGAGAUCAUCAGGCUCAGAGAAUCAGAGCUAUUCCCUCAGCUACUUGAGCUGGUUGCUGGUACUACUUGCAUAUGCAUGGUCAAGAAAUAA
rnacentral:rRNA from 1 species